rnacentral:rRNA from 1 species
AUCCCUAGCGUUAAGACUGUUCCUCACCAGUCUUGACUGAUUUUGGAAGCUGAGCAAGUUCUGGCCUACUUAGCACUGGGAUGGAAGACCGCUUGGGAAUACCAGGUGCUGGGAAAU